rnacentral:rRNA from 1 species
GACGAACGCUGGCGGCGUGCUUAACACAUGCAAGUCGAACGAAGAGCGAUGGAAGCUUGCUUCUAUCAAUCUUAGUGGCGAAUGGGUGAGAAACGAGUAAUCAACCUGCCCUUCAGGGGGGGACAACAGAAGGAAACGACAGCUAAUACUGCAUACGACCUAACCUCGGCAUCGAGGAUGGAGGAACGGUGGCCUCUAUUUAUCAGCUAUCACUGAAGGUGGGGAGUGCGUCUGAUUAGCUAGUUGGAGGGGUAAGGGAACACCAAGGAGAUGAUCAGUAGCCCGUCUGAGAUGAUGAACGGCCACAUUGGGACUGAGACACGCCCCAUACUCCUACGGGAACCAGCAGGACGCAUUCUUCCGCCAGCGACGAAAGUCUGACGGAGCAACGCCGCGUGAGUGAGGACGGACUCCGCGUUGUAAAUCUCUGUUAUUCGGGUCUAAAGGCCUUCCUGCUAUUAGUUAGAAGGAUUGACGGUACCGGGAUAGAAAGCCACGGCUAACUACGUG